UGAAAGAAUCUGUAAAGCUCAGGAGGGAUAACGCCGAUACAUAAUCCAUAAAGAUCAUGUUUAUGCGGCGGCGCUAUCUAUCCUGAGCCUCACGGCUUCUUCUU
rnacentral:pre_miRNA from 2 species